GACGAACGCUGGCGGCGUGCUUAACACAUGCAAGUCGAACGGAAGGGCCCUGCUUUUGUGGGGUGCUCGAGUGGCGAACGGGUGAGUAACACGUGAGUAACCUGCCCUUGACUUUGGGAUAACUUCAGGAAACUGGGGCUAAUACCGGAUAGGAGCUCCUGCUGCAUGGUGGGGGUUGGAAAUUUCCGGCGGUUGGGGAUGAACUCGCGGCUUAUCAGCUUGUUGGUGGGGUAGUGGCUUACCAAGGCUUUGACGGGUAGCCGGCCUGAGCGGGUGACCGGCCACAUUGGGACUGAGAUACGGCCCAGACUCCUACGGGAGGCAGCAGUGGGGAAUAUUGCACAAUGGGCGGAAGCCUGAUGCAGCAACGCCGCGUGCGGGAUGACGGCCUUCGGGUUGUAAACCGCUUUCGCCUGUGACGAAGCGUGAGUGACGGUAAUGGGUAAAGAAGCACCGGCUAACUACGUG
rnacentral:rRNA from 1 species